rnacentral:lncRNA from 1 species
GGGUGAACAGGAAAGAAGGGUUUGAAUGAAAGAGUCUGAGGCAGGAGAAAGUGGAGACAGCAGCAAGAGGACUGAGGAAAGAAAGGAGAAAGGAAGGAACCUGUGCAUCGCGAGGCAGAGGAUUUCAUAAAGUAAGAGAUUCAAGAUAAAAUGCUCAACACCCUCCAAGCCUCAGAGUCCAAGAGAGGAGUUGUAUUUUUCCCAGCGGGCACCUGAAGAAAUGGAUAUUAUUAUCCCCAUACUACAGAUGAGAAAAGUGAGACUUACUGAGAUGAAGCAGCCUGCACACUGUCACAUGAAGGAGUUGUAGAGACCUGUAUUAGUCCAUUUUCAUACUGC